UACGUAGGGUGCGAGCGUUAAUCGGAAUUACUGGGCGUAAAGCGUGCGCAGGCGGUUUUGUAAGCCAGAUGUGAAAUCCCCGGGCUUAACCUGGGAAUGGCAUUUGGGGACUGCAAGGCUGGAGUGUGGCAGAGGAGACUGGAAUUCCUGGUGUAGCAGUGAAAUGCGUAGAUAUCAGGAGGAAUACCGAUGGCGAAGGCAGGUCUCUGGGCUGACACUGACGCUCAUGCACGAAAGCGUGGGGAGCAAACAGG
rnacentral:rRNA from 1 species